CCUACGGGAGGCAGCAGUGGGGAAUUUUGGACAAUGGGCGAAAGCCUGAUCCAGCAAUGCCGCGUGAGUGAAGAAGGCCUUCGGGUUGUAAAGCUCUUUUGUCAGGGAAGAAACGGUGAGAGCUAAUAUCUCUUGCUAAUGACGGUACCUGAAGAAUAAGCACCGGCUAACUACGUGCCAGCAGCCGCGGUAAUACGUAGGGUGCAAGCGUUAAUCGGAAUUACUGGGCGUAAAGCGUGCGCAGGCGGUUUUGUAAGUCUGAUGUGAAAUCCCCGGGCUCAACCUGGGAAUUGCAUUGGAGACUGCAAGGCUAGAAUCUGGCAGAGGGGGGUAGAAUUCCACGUGUAGCAGUGAAAUGCGUAGAUAUGUGGAGGAACACCGAUGGCGAAGGCAGCCCCCUGGGUCAAGAUUGACGCUCAUGCACGAAAGCGUGGGGAGCAAACAGGAUUAGAUACCCUGGUAGUCCACGCCCUAAACGAUGUCUACUAGUUGUCGGGCCUUAAUUGACUUGGUAACGCAGCUAACGCGUGAAGUGACCGCUGGGGAGUACGGUCGCAAGNUUAAAACNCAAGUGAGAGAGGCGNGAGAGNGCGAGGACGACGACGAGGGAGAGG
rnacentral:rRNA from 1 species